UACAGAGGGUGCGAGCGUUGUCCGGAAUCACUGGGCGUAAAGGGCGCGUAGGCGGCGCGGUAAGCGUGCGGUGAAAGCCCGGGGCUCAACCCCCGGGUCGGCCGUGCGGACUGCCGGGCUGGAGCACUGUAGAGGCAGGUGGAAUUCCGGGUGUAGCGGUGGAAUGCGUAGAGAUCCGGAAGAACACCGGUGGCGAAGGCGGCCUGCUGGGCAGUAGCUGACGCUGAAGCGCGACAGCGUGGGGGAGCAA
rnacentral:rRNA from 1 species